CACUGGCUGUCGCAGCGGAUGCUGGAGGGGACAUGGCUGGAACAAUGACGGGGUGUGGACCACCUCAAACUCUCCCCAGACUCUUCAGCAUCCAAAACAAAAACUCAUACAGGGUUGGAACCAUUUUUGAAGAUUCAGCACCACAGACAGCGACUCACUGAAGCAGCAGAACAUUGAAAUGGUA